rnacentral:lncRNA from 10 species
UCUGUCCCCACCGAGGGGACUAUGGGAGACAUGGAGGGUGUGUGAGCAACAGGUGAGACUGGAGCCAGCUGAAAACUGGGAGACCGACCCAGCCAACAAACAAUGUCGGUCUCUGUCUUGGCACCUGCAGGAAACAAGCUCCUACUUCCAGAAAAAGUGCUCCUGGGACUCCAGGAUACCAGGCAUCUGGGUAAGCUACAAUGCUUAACCACUUAACACAAUCAGGAAGCAACAGCCAUGCAUUCGGGAAAGGAACUUCAGUGUUGUGUGGCUCAGUCUCCAGACCUAACUUUCCCUUUGGUACAGACGCGGUGGUACAUGCCUGUAAUCCCAACACUUAGGCAGGAGGAUCACUCGAGCCCAGAAGAUCAAGACUAGUGUGAGCAACAAAAUGGGCUUGGUGGUGGGCACCUGUAAUCUCAGCUACUUGGAAGGCUGAGGCAGGAGAAUUGCUUGAACCCGGGAGGCGGAGGUCACAGUGAGCCGAGAUCGCACCAUUGCACUCCAGCGUGGGCUACAGAACAAGACUCUGUCUCAAAAGGAAAAAAAAAAGAAUUCAGAAUUCACCUGUCGCCUGCUGCUGCAGUGAACAGUGAGUGGCAC